UUCUUCUUCUCAUAUCUGCUUCCUUGUAUCCCACAAUUCCUAGGUUAUGACUCUCAGACCUCCUCUGUAUCCCACAAUGCCUGGGUUAUGUCUCUCAGACCUUCUCUGUGAAUGGCCCUGUCUUUGGCCGGGUAGUUGAAUGGUGUUGAUAAAAAUAAUGUUUUUAACCAUUUGCUGGUUUGUGUCCUCCUGGGCUUCUGUAGGAAUCGCAGAAUAGCCCACUGGCUGUAUAUCGCCGUAAGAACACCAUCCAGUUAAAAAAAAAAGUAGUAAAAAGUGCAGUGCCUUAAUUGUCCUUUUGCUUUGUUUUACAGUGAAGUGACUUGUAUCAUCCAAACAUCAUCCAUACUUAGUCCAUCUGUGUUUCAGGCAAAGGCAAUGCUGUCCCCUGGGUCUUCCUUUAUGGCUGUCUUUACAUCACAGGUCAUAGUAGUCCAAUGGAAGGUCACGCUUAGACAGGAAGCCUACAGAUUGGGUUGUUCAGAGUCUCUACAAAGGUGCAUAUUAACCAAGAUCUAGUCUGGAACCUUGAGGACCAUCAUUGCCUGCCAUUGCUGUGUGUGUGUGUGUGUGUGUGAGAGAGAGAGUUAUCUCAUUGUUAGUCUCUCUAUGGGCUUCCUGUACAAGGCUGAGGUUUGGUGGUAUGCUAGCUCAAGCCCAUGGACACACACAGUGCCUGACUGGAUUGCUGCGAAUGAGAUUAACAGUGUCCCAGGACCCUAUUGGAUGAGGUGAAUAGUGUCACGGGACACUAUUGGAUGAGGUUGAAGGUGUCACAGGAUCCUAUUGGAUGAGGUGAAUGAUGUCAUAGGAUCCUAUUAGAUAAGGUUAAAGGUGUCACAUGAUGCUAUUGGAUGAGGUGAAUGGUGUCACAGAAUCCACAUGCCCAGGAGGAAGAGAAAUCGUAGAGGUGUGUGAUGCAAAACAAAAACAAAAAUAAGAACCCGGACCCCCCCCCCCCUUUGAUGUCUCAGGACAUUCUUGUAUUUGCUCUUCUUUGAACUAAAUGCUAUUUUCAAUAAAACUGUCAAAUAUUCAGGAA